rnacentral:lncRNA from 1 species
UUAGAAAUCUAUAAUUUUAUUAAGACAAAAACUGACAGUAUGGUAUGAAGUUUACACUUAAACAAAAAAAUUUCACAUACAUCUUAACACAUGCUGAAAAAGAUUUUACAAUGUAAUUCUAUUUGCAGGUCUAGACAAUACUAAAAAUUGAUGGAUCUCAUGAUUUAAGACAGUAUUUUGGACAUCAGUUAAUCUGAAGAUUUUGUAUUCUCAAGUGAACCACUACCCCAAUAUGAAAGUUAAUCUCCUGAGACCAGGGCUUGUGAAGUCAUUCAAUCCUUGAAUAGACUCAAUGGAAUUUGUGCUGUCAGUAACUGAACCUGCCACAAGCAGUUUCAGGGUUCAAAGCUGAAAAAACAAAAUAAAAAAAAAAAAAAAAAAAAAAAGAA